rnacentral:lncRNA from 1 species
AAAUAUUGUUGGUCCCUAGUCCAAUGUAAAACUCUGAUAAUAAAAGAUAUCCUAGUGUAGAAUUCACAAGAAGAAAUAUUAUUUUCCCAUAAAUGUAUACGAGGUAUUGUUUGACAUGCCACUGUUCCAUAUAAAACAUACUCCCUCCAUCCGUGAUUGCAGUGGCGAAACUAGGAUUUGAAUACUGUCACGCCCUGAAGUUCUUCUCCCUAGCAAAAAUUUAAUUAAUAAAUUGUCGCAAGAAAUUAUUUGUUUAAAGGCAAGAGAGAAUUUUUCUUGGAAUCGGCAUGUGGAAUUUUUCUUGGAUUCUACAUGUCAAAAUAUGCUAACAGGAAUUUUAGUGGAAUUUUCAGAGCCUUGGAAAUAAUUUUAGUGGAAUCCCAAGAAGUUGGAGGAUAUACCUAUAGUACAAGAGUAUCCUGAGGUGUUCCCAGAAGACCUCACUACAAUGCCACCGAAGAGAGAAAUCGAGUUCCAGAUUGAUCUGGCACCCGGAACUGCUCCAAUCUACAAGAGGCCGUACAGAAUGGCAGCUAAUGAGCUAGCAAAAGUCAAAAAGCAGGUUGACGAACAGCUGCAGAAAGGGUACAUCCGACCGAGUACUUCACCUUGGGGUGCUCCGGUUAUCUUUGUGGAAAAGAAAGACAAGACCAAGAGGAUGUGCGUUGAUUAUCGCGCCCUUAAUGAGGUCACAAUCAAGAACAAAUAUCCGUUGCCAAGAAUUGAUGAUCUGUUUGAUCAGCUAAAAGGAGCUAAGGUGUUUUCCAAUAUAGACCUGCGAUCAGGCUAUCAUCAGUUGAGAAUUCGGGAAGAGGAUAUUCCCAAGACAGCCUUCGCCACUCGGUCUUGCUCUCUUUUCCCCCACACUAGAGUUGAAGUCCUUCUCAGUUGAAGAUGUCACAAAGAAGUUGGUUUCGUCGCUACCGUCAAGGAUGCCUGUGGAAUGGAGUCGCCCACUGUAGAAGUCAAGUCUUCAGGCUUAGCUCGUUUUUUUCCUCUUUUUUCCGCUGCAUUUGUAAUCUUUUAUAUUUUUGUAAGACGUGGAUCUGUAUGUCAAUAAUUGUCGUUUGUGUACCCUGGCUGGUCCUGGACAGGGGUUUAAUACACAUUCAGCUUAGAAAUUCUUAGUUGGUAUCAGAGCCGACCUUGACCGUAGGACAAGCCAACUGGAAACCCUAAGAGUCCUCUUAAACCUUUUCAUUUGCACAUGCCUUUUGCACUUGGAUUUGUUUCGGUAUAAUUUUGGGGUUUGCUCUUUUGAUUUGUGGGAAAAAUCUUGAUCGCUAUUUAAUCGUAUUUCUCGGCUAGAGGCAGUCUAGGGUUCUAGCAAAACUUUAUUUGGAAUUUAUUUGGCCUUCAGUCGGGAAUUUGUUAGGUGAUAUGCACUAAGUCGUGUCUAGAUUCGAUGGGCAUUUUUAUGUGUAUAUUAUAGCUACGCAUCUAUUUUGUGCAUUAAUUUAUCGUUUAGUCAGUUGCAUUAGUAUCUUUGUCUGGGUUCAUGAAAAAUGUUCCACGCAUAAAAAUCAUCAUGCUCGGCGAGUUAUUUGAGUCAUUUGUUGCUUUAUUUAAUUUGGUUUUGAGCAUGUGUUGGUUCCUAUCCCUCUGUCCUCUUUAGAUGUCAGACCUGUUCUCUGAUCGCAAGCGCUGCUCCAAGCUUCAGAGUCGCCGCCUUUAUCCUUAACAUUUUCUUAGUUUUGGCUGCUUGCUAGUUUCUGUGUUUAGGUUUGUUGCUUGUGGGUUAGUCGGCGGUCGAUAUCAUGUGUUAGUGGUAUGACUGCCUUAAUUAGGAGUUGUUUGCUUUCUUUUUAGUUUUUUAAUCAAGAUUAAAUUAAUUGCACUUAAAUCUAUAAGAAAGAUUAGUUUCCAAGCCAUCUGUUUUCUUCCUUUCUCUUAUUUCUACCUAUCCUCGUCCAGAUGGUGAAGACAGGGAAUGAUCCCCGUGCCUCCAAUGACGCUAGGGGCAGCGAAGAGCAGACCGAUGGAGCUCAUAUCAGUGGUGCAUCUGACAGCAGUUCAUCUCCACCGCCCGAGAACCCAACGGUCACUCAGAUGAUGACAAUGAUGAUACAACAGAUGCAGCAACAUUACCAUCAGAUGUUGCAGCAGGCGCAGCAGAACCAGCAGUCUGGUCCUCCAUCAUCACACCUGUCCAAACUGUUAGACUUUCAUCAUAUCCAGCCACCCACUUUCUCAAGCACCACCAACCCAAUGUAGGCCAACGACUGGCUCCGUGCGAUUGAGAAGAAGCUGAACCUUCUGCAAUGCAAUGACCAAGAGAAGGUUGCUUUUGCUACACAUCAGUUGCAAGGUCCCGCUUCUGCUUGGUGGGAUAACUACGUGGUGACCCGUCCAGAUUCAACGGAGGUUACUUGGGCAGAGUUUUGUCAAAGCUUCAGGAAGGCACAAAUUCCUGAGGGGAUUAUGGCACAAAAGAAAAGAGAGUUCCGCGCACUGCAUCAAGAAACCAGGAUAGUUACAGAGUACUUGCAUGAGUUCAACCGCCUUGCGCGCUACGCUCCUAAGGAUGUGCGCACCGAUGCCGAGAAGCAGGAGAAGUUUUUGUUUGGUCUCGAUGAUAAAUUGACCAACCAGCUGAUCUCCGGAGUCUAUGAUGACUUUGAGAAGCUCGUGGACAAGGCUAUCCGUCAGGAAGAGCAACGCAACAAAAUGGACCGAAAUAGAAAGGUAGCUCAGAUCAGCUUUCCUCAGGGGAACAAUUAGAAGCCUCGCUUCAUGACGGGACAGCUAGGUGAGCCUUCCACCCUGAUCAUCCGUCAGCACCAUCCUUACCACCCGAGUAACUUCAACAACGACUACAACGGUGGCAGUCACAACAACAGUAAGCAGCAUAACCACAACUCGACUUCACCCCCAUUAAUGGCACCAGCUCAGUCAGAUCCGCCAGCUAUGUCAGCUCAGUCAGAACAGCUCAAGAAGGAGUCUGCAGGAAAGCCAAGACCCUGCUUCAACUGUGGCAAGCACGGCCACUUUGCUGGCAAGUGUCCGAAGCUAAAGCGCGUUGGACCUAGGUUCGUCCAGGCCCGCGUCAAUCAUGCGUCUGCAGAGAAAGCACAGGCAUCACCAGAGGUCGUGCUGGGCACGUUUCCGGUGAACUCAUAUCCAGCAACAGUUCUCUUUGAUUCUGGUGCCUCGCAUUCUUUUAUAUCCAAGAGAUUUGCUGGGGCACAUGGAUUAUCGGUAGUGGAACUUAAAAUACUGAUGCAGGUUCAUACCCCUGGAAAUGACAUGAGGACAGCACACUACUGCCCCUCAGUGACUAUAGAGAUCAAGAGGUCACGGUUUCUAUCCAACCUCAUCCUUCUCGAAUCCAAAGACCUAGAUGUCAUUCUCGGAAUGGAUUGGUUGACCAGACACAAGGGAGUGAUCGACUGCGCAAGUCGCACUAUCACCCUAAGCAACGACAAAGGGGAGAAGAUCACCUUCCGUUCUCCAGUGUCACAGAAGUCCGUAGCGAGUCUGAAUCAGGCUGUUAUUGAGGAUCAGACAGAAAUAGCGGAAAAAAAUCCCAAGAAGUUGGAGGAUAUACCUAUAGUACAAGAGUAUCCUGAGGUGUUCCCAGAAGGCCUCACUACAAUGCCACCGAAGAGAGAAAUCGAGUUCCAGAUUGAUCUGGCACCCGGAACUGCUCCAAUCUACAAGAGGCCGUACAGAAUGGCAGCUAAUGAGCUAGCAGAAGUCAAAAAGCAGGUUGACGAACAGCUGCAGAAAGGGUACAUCCGACCGAGUACUUCACCUUGGGGUGCUCCGGUUAUCUUUGUGGAAAAGAAAGACAAGACCAAGAGGAUGUGCGUUGAUUAUCGCGCCCUUAAUGAGGUCACAAUCAAGAACAAAUAUCCGUUGCCAAGAAUUGAUGAUCUGUUUGAUCAGCUAAAAGGAGCUAAGGUGUUUUCCAAUAUAGACCUGCGAUCAGGCUAUCAUCAGUUGAGAAUUCGGGAAGAGGAUAUUCCCAAGACAGCCUUCGCCACUCGGUCUUGCUCUCUUUUCCCCCACACCAGAGUUGAAGUCCUUCUCAGUUGAAGAUGUCACAAAGAAGUUGGUUUCGUCGCUACCGUCAUGGAUGCCUAUCGAAUGGAGUCGCCCACUGCAGAAGUCAAGUCUUCAGGCUUAGCUCGUUUUUUUCUUCUUUUUUCCGCUGCAUUUGUAAUCUUUUAUAUUUUUGUAAAACGUGGAUCUGUAUGUCAACAAUUGUCGUUUGUGUACCCUGGCUGGUCCUGGACAGGGGUUUAAUACACAUUCAGCUUAGAAAUUCUGGUUCGUGAAUAUCUGGGCGUGACAAUUACGAGGGGGAACUAAAUUGACAAGUGAUCAUAAUUAUAUUUUUUCUUAAAACUAGGAAGGUAGCCCGCGCACAUGCGCGUGCACCUUAUUUAAUGUGCAUGAAAUUUUGUUAGGGAUGUCCAUGUGUGGGUGUUUCUCUAUCUAAAUAAAAAUUGAACUUAUUUAAUGUGAUUUGAAUGCUGGUUAUAAUUUUCUUAUGAUUACCCUUGCAGCACAUAAAUUCUAAACUAAAAUUACUUGAGACUGUACACUUCAUAAUUUAUAAGAAAAUAUUAUGUCGAAACAAUAGAUGUAGUUCCUAUGAGAAAAUUUUGGUCAUUUUGACUUCUCGCAUAGAUAUCUUACCCCCAAACAUUUGCUCAAAAAGUCAUUUUUUUGCUAGAUAGUAUUUGAAGUUUUACAUAUUUUCAUUCCAUUAGCUUUGCUAGAAGUUUGAAUGUUUCUGUUUAGAAUGGGUUUUCAAACCAAUUUUUUUUUUAAAAAAGAUAAUUUUUGUUAAAUUUUGAUUCUUUUCAUGUACAUUUUUUAAAGAAAUUUGGAGAAUUCCACUCUAUGAAGCAUAUUUGAAAUGAUUUGAUUUCUGCAAUUUGGGUUAAAAACAUAAGUGGGUUGAGCCUACAACCUGACAUGGGGUAAAGUCAUCUCUUCUGAAUUAUCUCACUUCAAUUGAGUAAGAAAUAUUAAAAUAGAGGUCAUGUAAUAAAUACACAUUAUUAUGUUGUCUAUAAAAAAUUAACGCUAGAUGGGGUACAAAUUAUGACGUAAAACACGAUAUCAUUUAAAGUUUUCCUCUAAUUUAUUGGUGACUUCAUAGAUCAUAUAGAUAAUUUAGACUCUAUGAUCAUCUUAAGAUUAUUUAUUUAUCUUCUAAAUUGAUCAUUGAUUGAUAAAAAAGCACCAAGGUCAUAUUAUAUAGGUAAGUAGCCCCCAUAUACAUGUUGAGAGAAAUUAAUAAAUUUGAUAGAAAGUGUUAGGGUCUAACAGGAUAUAAGUAAUGGGUCAACCAGCUUUAUUAAAAAUUAAGGUGGGAUAUUCUGAUUUUCAAUGACGAAUUUUAGUAUCUUUUUUAAUUUAUUGUUGGCCUCAAGAUGGAUGUGGGUCUAGAAUAUAAUUUUUAUGUUAGCAUUUAAAUAUAGACAAUAUGAAUAUUAAUGUAUUGAUUUCACUAAAAAUAUAAUAGUUCGAACAGAUCAUAAGUUGAAUAUAUGAUUUGAAAAGUUAUAAAUAUUUUAUUUAUAUUGUUCCUAUAAGUGCUAGUAAGAGAGAGAAGGACAGGGACAGUGGGAUACAUGGCUAGACCUAAUAUGUGGAGGUUAAUUUGUGGUUUUUCCUCCAUAAAGAUUAAUUUAAUUUUAAUUAUCAUAAUAUAAAAAUAAGAGAAAAGGAACAUCACACCGCACGGGGACGGGAAGGGAGGGAGGAGGAUGUUUUUUCUUAAAAAAAUGAUUGAUCUAAUGACCUAAAAUAAUGUGUUGGAUGUUUAAGUCGAAAACAAUGGUCGGAUGUUUUGUUUUUAACUUAAGAGAGACCAGUAGUGGUUUAGAAAUAUUUAUAGGAUGUUUAAUGUAUUUAACAUUGCAGGGGCCGAGAGUGAGGAAAUAAGGUUUGUGAGUUUUUUUAAAUAAAAAUCUAAUAACAACCUAAAUGAUAUGUCCAUCGAUUUAAGUCAAAAUGGUGUUUUGUUCUUAAUUUUUUAUGAUUUUCUCUAAUUUAUAAUUUAGGAGUGUCACUGUGUGGUUUAUAAGAUGGUUAAUGGGCUUUAACGCCGCAUAGGAGCGCGGAGGGAGGUUUGGGAUAUAUUUUUUUAGAAAAAGAUAAAUCUAAUAACCUAAAAUAAUGUAUAUAGAUGGUCGAAUGUUUUUUUAAGGUUUUCUCUAAUUUAAGAGUGCUAUAUACUCAUCCCGUCCCAUAAAACCUGAACUUAAAAUAGGAUGUGGCAUAUGCGAGAACAGCGAAUUUGGACAUGUGUUUAGAAAUAUUUAUAUGAUGUUGAUUGAACUAUUUAUUUAUUAGGUGAGAAUAUAGGAAGUUGGCUAGAUCUAGUAGGUUGAUGGGCUUUUUAGGCCCAUAAAAAGGUAUUUAAUUUAAAUUAUAUGGGGAUUUAAAAAAAGGAGAGGAACGGUUGGUUGGAGGAAUCGCACGUACGUGCGCGCGGAGGCUCACGUCCGGACGGAGUUAUUUUUCUUGUGAAGAUAGAUCUAAAUAUGAAAAUUAAUGGGCCCACCAAUUUAAAUAAAAAUCAAUGGUCAGAUUUUACUAAUUUUUUAGAGUGACACAUGGGGACUUAAGAGCAUUUAUAGGAUACCACAUGGCAGCCUUAGAGCGUUUGUAGGAAGUUUAAUGGACUUUUAGUAUAUAAUAGAUAGAUUAUAUGCAAAUUUCAAUGUUUUCUUUAGGUAAUGAUGCAUCGUAUUAACAUGAAAAACAUAUUACAACAAAAAACAUAGGCAGGAAGUUAUACUGCAUAUACUUAUUUAUUUAUGAAAUUUAGCAUGAUAAGAAUGUUGAGCAAAUAUAUCAUAAGCGGUGAAAAUAUCGACCGAGAUAAAAGUCUAGAUAAAUAGGCUUUCAUCUAUAUCGAUUUUGAUAAAAUGAUUAACAAACUAUCUAUCUUGCAAGUAUUAAGGAAUAUUUAGAAAUUUGAGAUGGUAGCCAUCUAACGACAUGAUUAUGAUUAUGAGAUAUUAAUAAAAUGUAGUAUUAUACAAGGAAAAGGAAAAAAAGAAUGGCAUGGCUUGUGCUUCUUUUGGUUAGUGACUAAUUAAUCCUACACGAUAAACAUAAGAAGCUGGAAAUUCAGCAUGGCACACGAUGUGAUGCUGUUAGCUAAGCUGUGCAUGCAUCGGCAGAAUCCUAUGACUUGCUCUGACUUUGAGUCACUGACAUGGGCCAACUGGAUAGAGGGCACACAUAUCAGUGACACAAGUUAGAGAAAAGUAAGUUAGAGGAUCUCUAUUUGGUUGGGUUGUAGUUUAAGGCUGCGUUCGGUAUAGGAAGUUCCCAACCCCUCUUCCUCGUUUUCUGCGCGCGCACUUUUCAAACUAUUAAAUGGUGUGUUUUUUUGCAAAAAGUUUCUACACGAAAGUUGCUUAAAAAAAUCAUAUAGAUCUAUUUUUUAAAAAAAUUAGUUAAUACUUAAUUAAUCGCGCAUUAAAUGCUGCUCCGUUUUAUAUGCCAGGAGUGAGGUUCCCAACCCUCACUCCCGAACACAGCCUAAGAGCCUUAUUGGUUGCCUAUAUUUUCUAAUAAGCCAAAACGGCUUAUUAAGAAAACUGUUUAAUAAAACCAAAAAGAUGUGGUGGUUUAGGCUUCAGAAUCUAUAGGCUGUUUAACCAAGCCCUUCUUGCCCGUCAAGCUUGGCGUCUUAUAGAAUUCCCUGAUAUCCUCUAUGCAAGAGUUCUGAAGGCGAAGUAUUUCCCCCAAGGAUCCCUAAUUGAUACUACCUUCAGUUGCAACAUUUUCCCGACUUGGCGUGCUAUUGUUCGUGGGCUGGAGUUAUUGAAAAAAGGGAUCAUAUGGAGAGUUGGUAAUGGGAAGUCUAUCUGCGUGUGGAGAGAUCCCUGGAUUCCACGUGAUCACUCAAGAAGACCUAUUUCUUUGAGAGGUAAUUGUUGGCUAAAAUGGGUGUCUGAUUUGAUAGACCAAGAUGGCUCUUGGAAUAUUACAGAGAUCAAUAGAUGCUUCCUUGGUAUAGACGCUGAGAUCAUCCCAACUAUCUGUCUGUCUCCUCAUUUGGAAGAAGAUUUUUUGGCUUGGCACCCAGAUAAGACAGGCCGGUUCUCAGUGCGGAGUGCCUACAGCCUUGCUUGUAAGCUGGCAAACACUGAAGAUUCGUCAAGCUCAUCUGUAGUGGGUACACACAAAGCCUGGGACUCAAUCUGAAAGUGUAAGAUGCCACAGAAGAUAAAGGUCUUUGCCUGAAAAGCUGCCUCAAACUGUUUACCAACCAUUGUCAACAAAAAGGUACGAAAUUUGGAGUCGACAGAUACCUGAAUCAUUUGUAAUCAGGAGAAGGGGGAUACUGCUCACGCCCUCUGCAGGUGCCCACACGCGAGGAACUUGCUGUCAGCCAUGUUCAAUGCAGGCAACAUCUCUCUUGAUGUGGAAAAAUCUCGUUUCGGUAAUGAGUGGCUAUUUGACAUGCUGGAGCAACUCCCUGCCCAUGAGCACGAGAUGUUCUUAAUGACGCUAUGGCGGAAUUGGCAUGUUCGCAAUGAAAUCACCCAUGAUAAAGCAGCCCCUCCGCUGGAAGUUUCGAAAAGAUUUGUUGAAAGUUACAUAGCCACGCUUUUCCAGAUCAAGGAAUCACCGCUGAAAGAUGUGGAAAAAGGGAAGUCUGUAGCGAGUUUGUCUGUCACUGGCAGGGUAAGAGACAGAGCUUCUGAUGAUCAUCGAGUUCCGAAUCCCGUAUUGCAUUAGGUGAAACCUCAGGUUGGUUGGAUGAAACUCAAUGUUGAUGGAUCCUUUGAUGCUGCCCUAUGUAAGGGAGGAAUUGGUAUGGUUUUACGGGAUAGCAGUGGGAAUACAAUCUUCGCGUCCUGUAAACCGCUGAACAGAUGCACAGGUGCUCUCGAAUCAGAACUGCGUGCCUGUGUAGAAGGUCUGAAUCUAGUUCUCCAUUGGACCCUGCUCCCAAUUCUAGUUGAAACAGAUUGCAUGUCUGUAGUGCAACUGUUAAAUGAUGGGGAAAGGGAUCGGUCGGAAUUGGCUAACAUUGUUCAUGAGGCUAAACGCUUGCUAGCCGGGACUAGGAGAAUUCUAGUCAGUAAGAUCCAUAGAAGCCAGAAUAGUGUUAGUCACCUGUUAGCUAACAGGGCCAAAGUUGACUCUGUCUCUGGGGUUUGGUUGGAAGGAAGUUGUAAUUUUAUCUUACGUUUAGUGCGUGAGGACAUUUUAAGAGAGUAAUAUAUUUCUUCUUUCCCCGCAAAAAAAAAAAGAAAUACAAGUUAAUUUAUAUAUAAAGCUUUUAUAUAUUUGUUCGUAGCAAGGUAAAAGCCAAUGCUAUAAAGAAAUUUACGUUGAAAAUAAGUUGAAAUCAACUUUAAAUUCAAGUUUUAAAAUUCAAACUUUAGCUUUUGCUUUGUGUUAUUAGGCCAACCGAUGAGGCUCUAAGCAGUUGUGUUGGGGGAGGCUAGGCCUCCUCCCGCCCCCUGGCUUCAUCCCUUCGUGAUUGACAAGUGCACAAGCAAAACGAAAGAAAUAUAGUAGUCCCUCUACCCCAAUUUGACCGUCCACUAAGAUUUUGAGGUUUUUUCUAAAUGACCAUCAUACAAUAAGUGGGAGUAAAUGGGAAUCGCUGAAUGCGCUGCACGCAUGCAACCGUAUGCAUGUAACUAGCCAAGAUUAAUUUCUGAUGGUGUAACUAGGUAUGAAAAUGGUUCAUAAAGUUUCCUAUUUCCUGAGAGGUUUUUGAAACGGAAAGUGUCAGUCAGAAUUUUAUCGGAAAUUUUUAGAAAUGGAAAUGAAUUCAGAUUUUUUUUUUCAAAAUCGGAAAUGAAUACGGUGAGGCUACUAUCGGUCGAAAACCGGAAUCGGUCAGAAACUUUCCGGAGAUAAAUUUGAAAACUUUUCGAAAACAGAAACUUUUUAUAUAUAGCUUAUUAGCUUCAGCCUUCUCUACUCUAUAUAUGUUUAGAUUUCUACAUAAUAUUGAGAUGGUUAGUUGAAUGUAGAUAAUUUUUUAGUACGGUGCUUUAGAUACGUGUCCACCCCCUACAGUAGCAGGCUCACCAUGAGCUUCUCACUAGGCUCCCGCGCCGCUCCCUUCCUGUCUCCCAAGGGUGUGACCUGAGGAAUUCCCGCGCUCACACCGUGAUCUCCGCCGGAGAUUCGCCGGCGACAGGGAGCGCCGCCGCGUCGCCCUAGAAUCGUCAGUCCAUCGCCUGACAUACUCUUCAGUAUUCCUAUUCCUUUUUCAUAUGACUUAAAAAUCGAUCUUAUGUUUACUACACCAUCUAAUAACAAUAAAAAUACUAAUUAAAAAAGCGCAAGGAGUAUCAUUUAAGAGCGGGUUGUUUCAUGUGUGGUUGCCACCACUUCCACGUCGCUAACAGACUUAUUAAUUGUAAAAGUAAGGUACUCUGUUCAUCGUACUCCGUACAGAGUAGCAUCAAUGAUAGAAACUUCACCUUUUUUUUAAUGUUUGAUAAAAUGGGAUGCGUCACCUACGGAUGGACCAACGGAUUGUUGGUCGUUGGUAUAGCAAUAUCAAUAUUAUUAUGGCUCUUAGUUGACUCAACUGACAAGUCUACGCCUGCUCUUACUAUUUAAGAAGCUUCCAAUGCGCUAACGCAGCCCAGCGAUCUGCGCGUCACAACUCACAAAGCCGGGGUAGCUUGAGGUAGUGGUGCCCUGGAUUCUAAGGUAUACCUUGCUAUACACUGAUCCUUAUGUAAGUUCGUCUGUAAUAUAUACACGUAACUGGUAAAAUUUGUCCGUGCAAUUGCACUAGCUAGUUUCUAAUAUUAUUUCAUUUCAAGCAAAUUAGUUACUUGCUCCGGCCUAAAUAUAGCGGCCUAAUUUGAUAUACAAAGGCAGCAAUAUUUUAAAACGAAAAAAAGUGCGUGAUACAUAUAUAAUAUAAUUUCUUGAUAUUGUUUGUUUUUUCACGUGCCCUACUGCACAUUUAUACCUGCGAAUAUGCCCCCUUUAGCACAUUCUCAAAAGUUGGAAGCCAACAGGAAAUCUUUGGUGUCGCUAAAAUUCUUAAAUUCUAGGUGUGUUUAGUUCGCAAAAAGAAUUUUUUUAGUUGUCACAUCGGAUGUUUGACUGGAUGUUGGAAGGAGUUUUCGGACACGAAUGAAAAAACUAAUUUCAUAACUCGCCUGAAAACCGCGAGACAAAUCUUUUGAGCCUAAUUAAGCCGACAUUAGCACAUGUGGGUCACUGUGGUACUUAUGGCUAAUCAUGGAUUAAUUAGGCUCAAAAGAUUCGUCUCGUGAUUUCCAUGCAAAGUGUGUGAUUAGUUUUUAUUUUUAUCUAUAUUUAAUGCUCCAUACAUAUAUCCAAAGAUUCGAGGUGACGUUUUUGGGAAAAAAAAAUUGAAAACUAAACCAUGCCUCUUUAAAAAAGUUGUGUCAAAACCUGCGCAAUUUUAGAUACUAGUAUUUAACUGUGAUUGGUGGCGUCCAUGCCUCCUGCAAUAUACUUGCCAUGAAUGUCCACGAGGAUAUUUUAUAUUACUCCCUCCGAUUUCAUAUUAAUUGACGUUUUAGAUAAGGUUGAAGUCAAACUUUAUAACUUUGACCAUCAAUAAUUUUAAAAAUAUUUAGUUUAAAGGAACUAGAACAAUAUAUAUAAAUUUGUCUUUCAAAACACCAUAAUAAAAGUAAACAUAUAUUUAUUUAUUAUAUAUAUUAUAAUAGAAAAAUAAAGGUCAAAGAUAUAUUUUGUAGACCGUGUUCUUGUCCAAAACGUUAAUUAAAAUGAAACCGGAGGGAGUAUAUAAAAAAGAAUAGAAUCCAUUCCAGAGUUUUAGCACUCCAGAAAUUUUGGAAGUUCGAUUGUGAAAUGCCAAAACUGUCAUCAAUUUAAAGCUGCCAGAAAAAGGGUAGGUGAUAUCAAUAUAUUGUCGUGCCAAAAAUAUAUAAAAAUAUAUGGUUGCCCUGAUUCCUGUGUGAAGCAACAUUUUCACUGCACUGCUCCAAACACGCCGAAGGAGGAAUCAAUUCACCAUGAUCCACUCUAGCUAGGACCCGUAAAAAAUGGACAGUUUGGUCAGCAGGCUACUCCCUCCAUCCUAGUUUAAUCAUCCCCUAACUAAAGGCGCUAAGAACAAUAACAGCAAAAUAUUCAUCAUUCUUAAAAUUAAUCCUCUCAUGGAUUAAGUGUUCCAUCGCUUCGUGUCUUAUGGAUUGCUAAUGGUUUAAAUAUAAUAUAAAUUAAUCUUGUUUGGUUGCAAGUAACACAUUCCAAUGAUACACAUUUAGUACUCUUAAUUUGCACAAAUAAACGAAGAUGAUGAUUAUUUUGAAAAGGCCUUAAAAAUAUUAGGGGAUGAUUAAAAUGGGAUGAAGGCAGUAGUAUUUCAGAGCUUGCUUCUCCAUGUGAACAUUUUGUCAAGAAUGAGAAUCAUCGGUAAUUCAAUUCCCGUAAGGGCUAAUACGUGAAACGGAUUCCAACAUAUAUUAGAGUUAGGGCUCCAGGGUGAGCUAGGUAUGGAGAGGGCCAGAGGGGACGCUAGGGAGAGAAAAAAAGAGAGUCAGGAGGGCUUUUGUGCUCAGAUGGUUCGGGCUUCUAAAUUACUGUUUUAUAUUAUGAUAACUAGCUGGGUGGUCCACGCAAUUGCGCGGCUAGCCAAAAAAAUCAUUUUUUUAAGUAUGAUUUUACUUAAAAUUUAUUAAAUAGCUAUCUCAUUGUUAAGACUUUGAAAGACCAAACCUUAUCAUCCUCGUGUUUCUAAUUAUAUAGUUUUAAAAAUCACACCAAUUGCUACCCCUUAUGUCAUCUUCUUUAUUUGCUUGCUCGAUCUAUCACUAUUUCUAUUCAUUCAUCUUGGAACAUUUAAAAAUUAGAUUUUAUAGUUUUUAGAGUUUAUUGUCACGUUGGGUUUCGUUUUUAUAAUUUCUAGAUGUCCCGUCAAACGUUGCCAUUAUACUCCUAUACAGCCUGUCCACUAUCUCUUCUCUUUUAUUGUCAUUGAGAUUUUAAAAAUCGAACUGUGACGCCCCACACUUUUAUCUUUAGUGAUAAAAGUGUGAGAACAUAGAUUAUUAUUUAACAACCAUUAUUUUGCCAAAUAAUAAUCCACCAUCAGAGAUCGCAACAGAGAAAUAGUUAGAACUACCUUUAAUUCAUCCCUAGGAGCAUUAAGGUCAUCUCUACUCCAUCUAGAGUACACUCAUAACAUUGAAUAGAGUUUGUAGCAACUCCCCGUAGACUCCCAUCCAGGAGAUAGUCGUGAAUCACGAUUUAAUUUAGCACUGCGCAGGCUUGUAUCACUGUACCCAUAGCUACUCUUAACAUGUUUGACUGUCGCACUUCACUAGAUGCGGCACCAUGCUAAGAGUACAGAACUUUUCCCCUACUUCAACUUACUACACUCCACGUUUGUGUUGAGCCUAUCAGCCCUCCACACCACCGCGCUACUAUAUGCGCCUGGAAUGCACUUCAUCGGCAUUCAUGGGGUUUAUAUCAUCUCCCAUCCUACUACUACGUACCCAUGUGGAGUAUAAUAAACUUGAUAAGGUACCAGGUCCAGCCCGUCUUAAGACGAAUCUAUGGUCGACACGGUAUAUACGGUUCUUUGAUACGAGUGAGGGGGUGAUUAGUCCUUAUAUUUAUACACCGUAUGUAGGGAGAGCCCUGACCUGCCAUCAUCAUCAAUCAUCUCAUCCCUGAGCUCCCCCUACCCACCAUACUAGUAUCCUGAUGAUCUCCAUCAUCAUCGGCUUGUCAAUCAUAUCAUCAUCGUUCAUUUCAUUAUAUUCUAGAAAAUACUUUUUGAUGCAAUACUAGGAGAAAUAUUUUUAUGAAAUAGAUUUUUAAGUUGAAAUAGAAUUAUCAUCUACCAACAUGAUCAAAAGAGAGACUUGCCUGAGUUUCUGUAGCCGGUACUAUCAAAUGACCCAAUUUCUGACUCUAGCCUUUUCCCUGCAUUUUAUUGUAUACAUUGAUUUUCAAUUAACUUUCAAACUUGAAGAAUAUAAUUGGCUUAUCUAUCUAUAUUACAGUGCACCUAAAAUUCUAGCCUGAUGUACAAUUUCUAGCAUUCCAUUAAUUUGUAUUGAGUAUAUAUAUUAGUUACUUGAUUUAAACUAGACUUGAUUUACAGAUUUAUUGACAGAGUUUUGCUAAGCUUAAUGUUAGUGUAGACAACUAGUGUGCACUAAGCAAUUUAACCCUUAUUCCUGCUCUCCUCACUUAUGUCUCUCUCUCUCUCUCUCUCUCUCUCUCGCACAUACAACAAGCUGCAUCUAGUUACUCAUCCCCUUCUUCCAUUUUCUUGGCUGUUGCUGCUGCUAAUGGCUUUCUUCUUCCCCAACUCUGCUCCUCCCUUCCAUCUACAGCACCACCCAUGGCGCUGCCACCCCGGCGCCCACGGAGGUCGACGCCAGCCACCACCACUACACACCCCAAGCUAGCUCACUGCAAAUCCCCUUUUCUCCCCCUCCCGAUUUCUCCUCUUCCUCCCAUGGUCCAAGCCCUACCAACAGCGUCUGCUUUCUCUCUCUGUGUGUGUCCCUCUCUCUCUCUCAUGCUACCAAAUGGAUGUGAUGCCACUAAUAGUGAUGUGAAAGUGCAGGAAAAUAGUGCCUCGUGCCAUGGCUGCUCUAUGAGGUGGCAAGAAUGGCAAGAUUUGAGGGGCUCACCUUUGUCUAAGGGACAAGUUCCUCCAUGGUUGUGCUCCCGUGUUCGUCCUCGCCAAUGUGUUGGUCUCUUCUCCUCCUUGAUAGAUCAUCUCCUUGUCUAGCCAAUUUUUCUUCUCCCCUUCCUAGCCGACAUAGAGAUGGUAUGAGUAUUUGGCUGAGAACUAAUUUGGCUACUAACUAUUGGGAUUGAGGGAUUGGUUCUUGAAAUGGAUUGGGCAGAAUCUUGCAUUCCGCUGAUUUGUGGAUUUUGGGACUUUGGCUAUUCCCUCCUCGCUCCCUAUUGCUCUCCUCCUCCCCUGAUCUGCUCACUCCUCACCAAGUGCUUGGGGCUCAUAUGCAUGCAUCAGUGAGCAAAUGGGCAUGGCUGUAGCCAUGCUUUGACUGCUUGACUGAGAGGUGAUGAGGUUGUGCUACUACCUUUGUGGCCUUGUGUGAGUCCUCCUAUGUGCAGCUAUGUGAUUGGUGGAAAAUUAGUACUGCUGGUGAAUUGAGGUCCCUUUGGUGAGGUUACUUCUUUAUAUGAGAUGUGUGACUUCUUAGUGUUAAUUAGCCGGAGCCGGAUGACGAACCCAACUUAAGGGAGGGGUGCCAGACGGUAUUAGCCGAUCUAGGUAUCUCGGUGAAUGGUUGAAUAUACACCACUUCGUGUAUGGGUCUGACGGCAAUAUUUAUUUACAUAUUACCUUUUGUGCAUAAAAGGGUCAAGCUAUGCAUGUCCUGUGCAACCGUAUAUUCAAAUAUAUGAUGUAUUGUAUUAUUAGUGUAAGUGUAUGUAUAUGCUGACUGUUUACAGUGGCGUUUGUUUGUACUAUAUUUCCAAUUAUCACUAUUAUAUUGUGGUUGUAUAUUGGACAUUGUUUGUUUGUUUAACUUCGACGAAUGUGAAUUUCAUAAAUUUUGAGUGGCUUAUUCUUAUUUCCAACAAUUUUGCUAGUUAACUAAUUAAUUAGUGAUAUAUGCCACUUAAUUUUUAAUUUUUAAAAUAGCUUAAAUUUCCGGGUAACAUAAUUAUAGUUUGGGUUUAUUUUUACUUUCCAAAAGUCCCGCCAAACCAUCAGCGGUUUUGCCAUUGUACUCCUCUACGGCUCGCUCGCUGCCUCCCUUCUUUAUUGCCUUCUUUAUUGUCAUUGAGAUUUAAAAUAGAACAUGAUUAUCAUUGGUUUUUUUUACUUUUUAGAAUUUCUAAAUCUUUAAAAAUUGGACUUGUAGUUUUAUUUUUUAUAAUUUUUAGAAGUCUCAUCAAACGAUGCCACUAUGCCCCUCUGCAGCCCGUCCGCCGCCUACUCUUUAUUGUCAUUGUGAUUCUAAAAAUCGAACAUAACUAUCAUUACAAUUCAUUUUUUAUUUUCUAGAAGUCCCGUCAACCGUCGGAGGCUCUGCAACUAUACUCUUAUACACCCCGCUCGUUGCUUCUCCUUUUUAUUGUCAUUGAGAUUUUAAAAAUCGAAAAUGAUUAUCAAUGUGGUUUUCUUUCUUUAUACUUUCUAGAAGUCCCGGCAACCGCUUUACUUGUUUACUUCACGGCAUACCUGAUGUCCCUCCUUUUAAUCGUCAUUAGGAUUCUAUUUGGUGUUUUAUUAAUAAUUUUUAUAUGCCGUAUUAACCACCACCAACUCUACUACUUUAUAGCCAUGUUACUUAAUUUAUUUCGUCAUGUGUUUUAGAUGGUCUUUUCUUUCAAUAGUCUUUAUUUUUAUCACAAAUUUUAGUUAUUU